rnacentral:rRNA from 1 species
GACGAACGCUGGCGGCGUGCCUAAUACAUGCAAGUCGAACGCAGUGGGGACGGGUGAGUAACACGUGGGUAACCUCCCAUCAGAGGGCAUAACACUUGGAAACAGGUGCUAAACCGAUAUUGGUGGCACGCCCGGCGGUUCAUUAGCUAGGUGGUGAGGUAACGGCUCACAAAGGCCACGAUGCACAGCCGACCGGAGAGGGUGUUCGGCCACACUGGGACUGAGACACGGCCCAGACUCCGACGGGAGGCAGCAGUAGGGAAUCUUCGGCAAUGGACGAAAGUCUGACCGAGCAACGCCGCGUGAGUGAAGAAGGUUGUCGGAUCGUAAAACUCUGUUGUUAGAGAAGCGGUAUCUAACCAGAAAGCCACGGCUAACUACGUGCCAGCAGCCGCGGUAAUUC